rnacentral:rRNA from 1 species
UUUAGUUCGAUGCAUCGCGCAGAACCUUACCUACACUUGACAUACAGAGAACUUACCAGAGAUGGUUUGGUGCCUUCGGGAACUCUGAUACAGGUGCUGCAUGGCUGUCGUCAGCUCGUGUUGUGAGAUGUUGGGUUAAGUCCCGCAACGAGCGCAACCCCUAUCCUUAGUUGCCAGCGAUUCGGUCGGGAACUCUAAGGAGACUGCCGGUGAUAAACCGGAGAAGGUGGGGAC